rnacentral:lncRNA from 1 species
UUGGAUGUUCAGGCCUUGGCCAAUAGAUUUGUGAGAUUAGAUAUUUCUGAGCCCAGCAGGGUUUUAUCUUGCACAGUUGCUCGCUCGUCAUUGAUGGAGCGUAUUCGGGGGCGGAAGUUUGAUGAUCCCCGUUUGUGUGUCUUGAGAGACACGCUGCAGAGGGGAGGUGCCAAGGAGAUGACUUUGGGAGAUGAUGGCAUAUUGAGG